GUGAAAGAGCUGACCCAUCUGAAAAAUAAUCUUGCUUGCUGGUUUGCCCUAAUGAUUUUGGCUGGCAUGGUUUUGCCCAUAAUUAAUUCACUGAGCAAGACAUACAGAAUUCUAUCCAAUGCUAUGAAAAUUAACCAAGGCACAUUAACUUCAGGAAAUUUUCAAAGGACAGAGAAAGAAGCUGUAACAAACAGUUCUGGAGACUUUGAAGCACAGCCACAGUACUGA
rnacentral:lncRNA from 1 species